GUGGGCGUGGCAGAGCGCGCGCUGUCACGUGACAUGCGUGGCGACGUGUCGGCCAUCUUGUGUUGUUGAGGCUGAGGACUGACUUGGGUUCUGAGAGACUCUCUGUCCCGGACCGCAGUGUUAAAAGGACCUAAACAAAUUCUGCUCAAAUCUCCUGCUGUGAACCAGCAGAACUUUUGAACAGGUUGGAGUCUGAAAAAAAUGAAGCAGAAAUCCUCUCCAGGCCAAGAGUUGUGUCG